rnacentral:lncRNA from 1 species
AACAAAUGGAGUCCAAGAACAUGGCAAUAGGAAUUGUACUCUUAGUUCAGAGUGAACCUGGAAUUCUGGAAAACAUCUCCCUUCUUUUCUACUAUUUAAUACUUUACUACAAGGAAUGUUCAUUACAGGUAGUAGACAACAUUUGGACACAUGUAUAAACAUCUAACUCAUUGAACGUUCUCUUCAAAUGGCUUGCCCAGAUAAUGGGAGUCUUUGUCUGUAACAUGUUCUUCAAUGACGUGGAUGAAAUAAUAUUUUAUAUGUUCAUAGACUUGGCAGGAGCAUGUCUAUCAGUACCACUUUUCUCUUCAGUGUCUUCCAGGUAGUAACUAUCAGCCCCAGAAACUCCUACUGGAAAGAAAUCAAAAUGAAAACUACAAAGUUUAUGGGACUGUUAUUUUCCCUCUGCUGGAUUCUGUUGCUGCUAGUAAAUAUGUUUUUGCUUGUGUAUACAAGUACCAAAAGAAAUAGCGAAAAUAAGACACAAAAGAGAGCUUUUGAAUUCUGCCUCUGUUGUUCUCUGUAGUCUUAUUUUUGGUGCUCAUUGUAUGUUCCAACACCUUCAUGAUUUUCACACUUUAUGGACAUAAGAGGGUUCAAUGGAUCCUCAGCACACAUGCUUUCCAAAGAACAUCCCCUGAAAACAGAGCCACACAGACAAUCCUGAUACUGGUUUGCAACUUUCUACCAUUUCAUACUCUCUUUUCUAUUUUACAAGGUUAUAUUGCUCUCUCACAUAACCCCAGUUGGUGGAUAAUGAAUAUCACAUCCAUCAUUUUUAUGUGUUUUCAUACGUUAAGUCCAUUUGUGGUGAGUCGCCAUUCCACAUUUUUCAGAUUCGGCUUCACUUAG